rnacentral:rRNA from 1 species
GACAGAGGUGCCGAGCGUUAGGCGGAAUCACUGGGCUUAAAGCGUGUGUAGGCGGCGGCGUAAGUACCUUGUGAAAUCCCACGGCUCAACCGUGGAACUGCUCGGUAUACUGCGUCGCUUGAGCCAGCUAGGGGCGACCGGAACAAACGGUGGAGCGGUGAAAUGCGUAGAUAUCGGAAGGAACACCAGUGGCGAAAGCGGCUUCCUGGUCCAGCACCGACGUUCAGGCACGAAAGCGUGGGGAGCAAACAGG